rnacentral:rRNA from 1 species
CCUACGGGUGGCAGCAGUGGGGAAUAUUGCACAAUGGGGGAAACCCUGAUGCAGCGACGCCGCGUGAGUGAAGAAGUAAUUCGUUACGUAAAGCUCUAUCAGCAGGGAAGAAACACUGACCUUACGGUCAGCAGACGGUACCUGAGUAAGAAGCCCCGGCUAACUACGUGCCAGCAGCCGCGGUAAUACGUAGGGGGAAAGCGUUAUCCGGAUUUAAUGGGUGUAAAGGGAGUGUAGACGGGGCGCCAAGUCUGGGGUGAAAGGCCGCAGCUUAACGGCGGAACGGCUUUGGAAACUGGCGAACUAGAGUGCGGGAGGGGUAAGCGGAAUUCCUAGUGUAGCGGUGAAAUGCGUAGAUAUUAGGAGGAACACCGGUGGCGAAGGCGGCUUACUGGACCGUAACUGACGUUGAGGCUCGAAAGCGUGGGGAGCAAACAGGAUUAGAUACCCCAGUAGUC